UACGUAGGGUGCAAGCGUUGUCCGGAAUUAUUGGGCGUAAAGAGCUCGUAGGCGGUUUGUUGCGUCGGCUGUGAAAUCCCGAGGCUCAACCUCGGGUCUGCAGUCGAUACGAGCAAACUAGAGUGUUGCAGGGGAGACUGGAAUUCCUGGUGUAGCGGUGAAAUGCGCAGAUAUCAGAAGGAACACCGGUGGCGAAGGCGGGUCUCUGGGCAGCAACUGACGCUGAGGAGCGAAAGCGUGGGGAGCGAACAGG
rnacentral:rRNA from 1 species